rnacentral:misc_RNA from 1 species
UCGCGGCUUAACACCGGCAGUCCCUUCAGAGUGCCCAACUUAAUGGUGGCAACUAAAGGCAAGGGUUGCGCUCGUUGCGGGACUUAACCCAACAUCUCACGACACGAGCUGACGACAGCCAUGCAGCACCUGUGUUACGGUUCCCUUUCGGGCACCCUCACAUCUCUGCGAGGUUCCGUACAUGUCAAGGGUAGGUAAGGUUUUUCGCGUUGCAUCGAAUUAAUCCACAUAAUCCACCGCUUGUGCGGGUCCCCGUCAAUUCCUUUGAGUUUUAACCUUGCGGCCGUACUCCCCAGGCGGUCAACUUCACGCGUUAGCUUCGUUACUAAUGGGUUUAACCCCACCAACAACCAGUUGACAUCGUUUAGGGCGUGGACUAC